UUGCCUCACAGCUAGGGACAACAUUUAGAAAUGAAUGCUAAUACCUGAUAUUAUGGUUAUAGGGCAUCCUAUAAUUAUGAAAGCUAUAAGCACUGUGAGAGAGCUUUGCGUCCCAUUAGCUAGUUGGAGAGGUAACAGCUCACCAAGGCGAUGAUGGGUAGCCGGCCUGAGAGGGUGAACGGCCACAAGGGGACUGAGACACGGCCCUUACUCCUACGGGAGGCAGCAGUGGGGAAUAUUGGACAAUGGACCGAAAGUCUGAUCCAGCAAUUCUGUGUGCACGAUGAAGUUUUUCGGAAUGUAAAGUGCUUUCAGUUGGGAAGAAAGAAAUGACGGUACCAACAGAAGAAGUGACGG
rnacentral:rRNA from 1 species